CCUACGGGAGGCAGCAGUGGGGAAUAUUGGGCAAUGGGCGCAAGCCUGACCCAGCAACGCCGCGUGAAGGAAGAAGGCUUUCGGGUUGUAAACUUCUUUUCUCAGGGACGAAGCAAGUAACGGUACCUGCGGAAUAAGCCACGGCUAACUACGUGCCAGCAGCCGCGGUAAUACGUAGGUGGCAAGCGUUAUCCGGAUUUACUGGGUGUAAAGGGCGUGUAGGCGGGAAAGCAAGUCAGAUGUGAAAACCAUGGGCUCAACCUGUGGCCUGCAUUUGAAACUGUUUUUCUUGAGUACUGGAGAGGCAGACGGAAUUCCUAGUGUAGCGGUGAAAUGCGUAGAUAUUAGGAGGAACACCAGUGGCGAAGGCGGUCUGCUGGACAGCAACUGACGCUGAGGCGCGAAAGCGUGGGGAGCAAACAGGAUUAGAUACCCCUGUAGUC
rnacentral:rRNA from 1 species